rnacentral:rRNA from 1 species
ACGGAGGGUGCGAGCGUUAAUCGGAAUUACUGGGCGUAAAGCGCGCGUAGGCGGUUUGGUCAGUCGAUUGUGAAAGCCCUGGGCUUAACCUGGGAAUUGCAGUCGAUACUGCCUGACUAGAAUGUGGAAGAGGGAAGUGGAAUUUCCGGUGUAGCGGUGAAAUGCGUAGAUAUCGGAAGGAACACCAGUGGCGAAGGCGGCUUCCUGGUCCAACAUUGACGCUGAGGUGCGAAAGCGUGGGGAGCGAACAGGAUUAGAUACCCUGGUAGUCCACGCCGUAAACGAUGAGAACUAGAUGUCGGGAGGGUUUAGCCUCUCGGUGUCGCAGCUAACGCGUUAAGUUCUCCGCCUGGGGAGUACGCCGGCAACGGUA